rnacentral:snRNA from 1 species
CAAUAACAAUUUGGAGCAACAUCUGUCACCCCAUUGAUCACCAGGGUUGAUUUGGCUGAUCUGGCUGGCUAGGCGGGUGUCCCCUUCCUCCCUCACCACUCCAUGUGCAUCCCUCCUGAAGCUGUAGGCUCGGUCAAUGAGGAAGACCUUCCCCGAUAGAGGGGUACAGUUCUUUGGUCAAGGGUAUAUGAGUAGAAGCUAGUGACUUUAUGAGAAAUCAAGACAGUGUAAAACAAAACCAAAAGAAUGAAAAAAUAGAAAACAAUGUGAAACAACUGCCCUGGAAAAUAGGUCCAGGAGACUAAAUUU